rnacentral:lncRNA from 1 species
GCAGGAUGGUUGCUUGAGGAGCAGUAGCAGGCAUACAUGUAAUAUGCCAGUAAACUGUGCAUAUACAACAGUCGAAUAAUAGAGUGUAAAGUGCAGAUGUUACCUGAAUUUGUGAAUUGAAGUAAAAAGCAAAAUUGAUAACGACAGCAAUCUGUGGAGAAAAGAAAACUAAACAGAGUAAAGAACAUAAAAUAUCAUUCCUAAAAUUUGGAAGAAAGGGAGAAAAUCCUCAAAGCUGGAUGACAUCACUGUAUAGAAUCUCUCAUGUUAAUCAGCGAGAUUACCUCUAAAUAGUUAGAGUACAAAGCACAUCUCUUCACAGGGAAUGACGCCGGUUUGAUAAUGACAAUAAUUUGUGGAGAAAAAAACUAAAUAGAGUGAGGAACAUAAAAUAUCAUGCCUAAAAUUUGGAAGAGAAGGAGAAAAUCCCCAAAGCUGGAUAACAUCACUGUAUUGAAUUUCUCAUGUUAAUCAGCGAUAUUACCACUAAACAGUCAGAGUAUGCUCUUCACAGGGAACGACACAGGUUUGAUAAUUACUGCAAUCUGUGGAGAAAAAAAAACUAAAUAGAGGAACAUAAAAUAUCGUUCAAUUAACGAUGCAGGUUUGAUAAUGACAACAAUCUGUCAAGAAAAAAAAAUAAAUAGAGUGAGGAACAUAAAUUAUCAUGCCUAAAAUUUGUAAGAGAAGGAGAAAAUCCCCAAAGCUGGAUGACAUCACUGUAUUGAAUUUCUCAUGUUAAUCAGCAAGAUCACCUCUAAAUAGUCAAAGUACGUAGCACAUCUCUUCGUAGGGAACGACGUUGGUUGGUAAAAGAUGCGGCUUUUGUUUUGUGUCUGGUGUUAAGAUUUUGCCGUU